rnacentral:rRNA from 1 species
AAGGUGGGGGAUGACGUCAAGUCAGCAUGGCCCUUACUCCGGGGGCUACACACGUGCUACAAUGGCCGGGUACAAAGGGUUGCGAAGCCGUGAGGUGGAGCGAAUCUCAAAAAGCCGGCCUCAGUUCGGAUUGGAGGCUGCAACUCGCCUCCAUGAAGUCGGAAUCGCUAGUAACCGCAGAUCAGCUACGUUGCGGUGAAGUACGUUCCCGGGCCUU